CAAAAUAACACCUGACCUUGACGUGCCCGACCUUCACAAGACAUAUCUAGAUGCAUAUGUACCCGAGGGAAAGCAAACUAGCGCCAUAAGCUACAUAUUUUGGAUCAUCAGCGCAGUGCCGGACCGUGAUGGAAGUGACGUCGGAAUUGUUAAAGUCGUUUCAUUUAGAUCCUAGCUUCUCGCUAUUGACGGUGCGAUCGUCUGUGCUUUGCAUGGAGCUGUUCAAUUUGCUUGACAUACAUGAAGCAUCGGCAAUUAAUGAUGUGAUUUUCUGUUCGUGGCUGCGCA